rnacentral:rRNA from 1 species
UACAGAGGGCGCGAGCGUUGUCCGGAAUUACUGGGCGUAAAGGGCGCGUAGGCGGCCUCUUAAGUCGAACGUGAAAUCCCCGGGCUCAACCCGGGAACUGCGUCCGAUACUGGGGGGCUUGAAUCCGGGAGAGGGAUGUGGAAUUCCAGGUGUAGCGGUGAAAUGCGUAGAUAUCUGGAGGAACACCGGUGGCGAAGGCGGCAUCCUGGACCGGUAUUGACGCUGAGGCGCGAAAGCUAGGGGAGCAAACGGG